CAAUAGCGUAUAUUAAUGUUGUUGCAGUUAAAAAGCUCGUAGUUGGAUUUCUGGUGGGAGCGGCCGGUCCGCCGUAAGGUGUGUACUUGGUUGUCUCCUGUCAUCCUUGUGGGAACUGCUCUGGCAUUAAGUUGUCGGGGUUAGGGAACACAUCGUUUACUGUGAAAAAAUUAGAGUGUUUAAAGCAGGCUUAUGCCGUUGAAUACAUUAGCAUGGAAUAAUAAGAUAGGACUUUGGCGUCUAUUUUGUUGGUUUGCACACCAAGGUAAUGAUUAAUAGGGAUAGUUGGGGGUAUUCGUAUUUAAUUGUCAGAGGUGAAAUUCUUGGAUUUAUGAAAGACGAACUUCUGCGAAAGCACUUACCAAAGAUGUUUUCAUUAA
rnacentral:rRNA from 1 species